CCUACGGGAGGCAGCAGUGGGGAAUAUUGCACAAUGGGGGAAACCCUGAUGCAGCAACGCCGCGUGAGUGAAGAAGUAUUUCGGUAUGUAAAGCUCUAUCAGCAGGGAAGAAGAAGGACGGUACCUGACUAAGAAGCCCCGGCUAACUACGUGCCAGCAGCCGCGGUAAUACGUAGGGGGCAAGCGUUAGCCGGAUUUACUGGGUGUAAAGGGAGCGUGGACGGCUGUGAAAGUCUGAAGUGAAAGCCCGUGGCUCAACCGCGGAACUGCUUUGGAAACUGUAUAGCUGGAGUACAGGAGAGGCAAGCGGAAUUCCUGGUGUAGCGGUGAAAUGCGUAGAUAUUAGGAGGAACACCAGUGGCGAAGGCGGCCUACUGGACAGAAACUGACGUUGAGGCUCGAAAGCGUGGGGAGCAAACAGGAUUAGAUACCCCUGUAGUC
rnacentral:rRNA from 1 species